AUACUCUUGUUUCUCUUCAGAUCAUAUAAAUCUUUCUCCUUUUACUAAAGAUUUCUGUGGAGAGGAGCAAGAUGGUGGGAGACAAGUGAGAGAAGUAUUUUCCUUUUCUGUCAUAGGAAAC
ensembl:snRNA U5 U5 spliceosomal RNA